rnacentral:rRNA from 1 species
CUAGCUUUAGCGAUGGAUCGGUUGCAUCGAGUAUCGAUGAAGAACGCAGCUUGCUGCGUUAAUUACCAUGRAUUGCAGACGCUUAGAAUGGUAAACUUUCGAACGCAUAGCACCGUUGGGUCCUCCCAUCGGUACGUCUGGUUCAGGGUUGUU